rnacentral:rRNA from 1 species
AUUGAACGCUGGCGGCAUGCCUAACACAUGCAAGUCGAGCGAGCGGCGGAUGGGCGAGUAAUGUAUGGGGACUGCCCGCUAGUGGGGGAUAACUACCGGAAACGGUAGCUAAUACCGCAUACUAUCGGAUAACCCAUAUGGGAUUAGCUAGUAGGUGAGGUAAUGGCGCACCUCGGCGACGAUCCCUAGCUGGUCUGAGAGGUUGAUCAACCAAACUGGGACUGAGACACGGCCCAGACACCUACGGAGGCAGCAGGGGGGAAUAUUGGAGAAUUGGCGCGAGCCUGGUGCAGCCAUGCCGCGUGAAUGAAAGAGGCGCUAGGGUAGUAAAGUACUUACAGUCGGGAGGCGUUACCGACAGAAGGAGCACCGGCUAACUCCGUGCCAGCAGCCGCGGUAAUAC